rnacentral:rRNA from 1 species
AACCGGCGAUUUCCGAAUGGGGAAACCCAGUGUGACUCGUCACACUAUCAUUAACUGAAUCCAUAGGUUAAUGAGGCGAACCGGGGGAACUGAAACAUCUAAGUACCCCGAGGAAAAGAAAUCAACCGAGAUUCCCCCAGUAGCGGCGAGCGAACGGGGAGGAGCCCAGAGCCUGAAUCAGCAUGUGUGUUAGUGGAAGCGUCUGGAAAGGCGCGCGAUACAGGGUGACAGCCCCGUACACAAAAGCGCAUGUGCUGUGAGCUCGAUGAGUAGGGCGGGACACGUGGUAUCCUGUCUGAAUAUGGGGGGACCAUCCUCCAAGGCUAAAUACUCCUGACUGACCGAUAGUGAACCAGUACCGUGAGGGAAAGGCGAAAAGAACCCCGGCGAGGGGAGUGAAAAAGAACCUGAAACCGUGUACGUACAAGCAGUGGGAGCCCCACCACUAAGCCAGUGGUGAACUCCACAUACGCAUCCUUUGCUGAGGAUACGGUUAACGGAGCGAAAGCGACGUUCAAC